rnacentral:rRNA from 1 species
UGGGGAAUAUUGGACAAUGGGCGAAAGCCUGAUCCAGCCAUGCCGCGUGAGUGACGAAGGCCUUAGGGUUGUAAAACUCUUUCGUCGGGGACGAUAAUGACGGUACCCGAAGAAGAAGCUCCGGCUAACUUCGUGCCAGCAGCCGCGGUAAUACGAAGGGAGCUAGCGUUGUUCGGAAUCACUGGGCGUAAAGCGCACGUAGGCGGAUAGUUAAGUCAGGGGUGAAAUCUCUCGGCUUAACCGAGAAACUGCCAUUGAUACUGUUAGUCUAGAGUACAGAUGAUGUGGGCGGAAUAUGACAUGUAGUGGUGAAAUACUUAGAUAUGUCAUAGAACACCGAUUGCGAAGGCAGCUCACAAAACUGUAACUGACGCUGAGGCACGAAAGUGCGGGGAUCAAACAGGAUUAGAUACCCUUGUAGUCCCUGAGCGGGCUGGCAAGGCGCAU